rnacentral:rRNA from 1 species
UACGGGGGGGGCAAGCGUUGUUCGGAAUUACUGGGCGUAAAGGGCUCGUAGGCGGCUAACUAAGUCGGACGUGAAAUCCCUCGGCUUAACCGGGGAACUGCGUCCGAUACUGGAUGGCUUGAGGUUGGGAGAGGGAUGCGGAAUUCCAGGUGUAGCGGUGGAAUGCGCAGAUAUCAGGAGGAACACCGGUGGCGAAGGCGGGUCUCUGGGCCGAGAUUGACGCUGAGGAGCGAAAGCGUGGGGAGCGAACAGG